UCGGGAAUUUUGGGCAAUGGGCGAAAGCCUGACCCAGCAACGCCGCGUGAAGGAUGAAGUAUUUCGGUAUGUAAACUUCGAAAGAAUAGGAAGAAUAAAUGACGGUACUAUUUAUAAGGUCCGGCUAACUACGUGCCAGCAGCCGCGGUAAUACGUAGGGACCAAGCGUUGUUCGGAUUUACUGGGCGUAAAGGGCGUGUAGGCGGCAAUUCAAGUCAUCUGUGAAAUCUCCGGGCUUAACUCGGAACGGUCAGAUGAUACUGCUUUGCUAGAGUGCAGAAGGGGCAAUCGGAAUUCUUGGUGUAGCGGUGAAAUGCGUAGAUAUCAAGAGGAACACCUGAGGUGAAGACGGGUUGCUGGGCUGACACUGACGCUGAGGCGCGAAAGCCAGGGGAGCAAACGGGAUUAGAUACCCCUGUAGUCCCUGAGCGGGCUGGCAAGGCGCAU
rnacentral:rRNA from 1 species